CCCCCACUUUUUCUAGUUUGAAAUGUCUAUUGUACAUAUUUCCACUUGAUGCAUAAGUCAUUAAAGAAGAAUAUUUAAUUUUAACUAUUAGAAAAACUCUUCAGGUAUUGGCCUGAAGAUAAAUUUUAGUGAAACAAAUACAAUUGGAUAUUCAUCAUUGCUCCUACUCUGGUGUAGUGUUGACAGAAAAGUGUAUGUUUUGUACUCUGCUUUCUGUUUAUUUGCCAUGCAGAUUUGAAUAGAACAGACUCUUUAGCUAUAAAAAUUAUAAAAAAUGGAAAGCGUAAGAAUAUUCAUGAGUUGAAUUAGUUGAGGUUUCUGGGUAACAACAUAUUAUACAUAUAUUUUUAACUUAAUUCAGAUAUCUUAGUCACAAAAUAAGUCUUAGAUUACUUAUUUUGAGAAUCCAUUAUUAAAAAUUGUAGAAUUGAUCUUUUUAUAGAGGGUGGGAGGUGGGUAGGAUGAGGUGAAUGGA
rnacentral:lncRNA from 1 species